UACGGAGGGUGCAAGCGUUGCUCGGAAUUAUUGGGCGUAAAGGGCAGGUAGGUGGUCUCAUUUGUCAGGGGUGAAAGCCUUGGGCUUAACUCAAGAAGUGCCCCUGAAACGGUGAGACUGGAGUGCUGGAGAGGGUCGUGGAAUUCCCGGUGUAGCAGUGAAAUGCGUAGAGAUCGGGAGGAACACCAGUGGCGAAGGCGGCUACCUGGACCAGCACUGACACUGAAGCACGAAAGCGUGGGGAGCAAACAGG
rnacentral:rRNA from 1 species